rnacentral:rRNA from 1 species
UACGGAGGGUGCAAGCGUUAUCCGGAUUCACUGGGUUUAAAGGGUGCGUAGGUGGCUCUGUAAGUCCGUGGUGAAAUCUCCGAGCUUAACUUGGAAACUGCCAUGGAUACUAUAGGUCUUGAAUACUGUGGAGGUUAGCGGAAUAUGUCAUGUAGCGGUGAAAUGCUUAGAUAUGACAUAGAACACCAAUUGCGAAGGCAGCUGGCUACACAAAUAUUGACACUGAUGCACGAAAGCGUGGGGAUCAAACAGG